UCCUUCUGUAACACCAGAACCAUUUGGCCU
rnacentral:piRNA from 2 species